GACGAACGCUGGCGGCAUGCCUAAUACAUGCAAGUCGAACGCUGAAGCACUCUGCUUGCAGAGUGCGGAUGAGUGGCGAACGGGUGAGUAACACGUGGGAAAUCUGCCUAUAAGAGGGGGAUAACAUUCGGAAACGGAUGCUAAUACCGCAUAUAUUCUUGGACCGCCUGGUCCUUGAAAGAAAGACGGCUUUGCUGUCGCUUAUAGAUGAUCCCGCGGCGUAUUAGUUAGUUGGUGGGGUAAAGGCCUACCAAGACAAUGAUACGUAGCCGACCUGAGAGGGUGAUCGGCCACACUGGGACUGAGACACGGCCCAGACUCCUACGGGAGGCAGCAGUAGGGAAUCUUCCACAAUGGGCGAAAGCCUGAUGGAGCAAUGCCGCGUGAAUGAAGAAGGUCUUCGGAUCGUAAAGUUCUGUUAUUAGAGAAGAACAAGUCAAGGAGUAACUGUCUUGACUUUGACGGUACCUAACCAGAAAGUCACGGCUAACUACGU
rnacentral:rRNA from 1 species